UAGUCUGAAAAAAAAAAAAGUUUCUCUCAUUCUCUGAUAAGGAGGACUAUUUUAUUUUGACUAAUAAAGCAAAACAAAUACUUCAACAGAUACAAAGAAAAACAGUUUAAAGUUGGCAGUGUAUUAACAAAGAAUCGGAUUGAGAGGAAUAUUAAAUACUGUUUUGCUUUAACAAAGGAUGAAGCAGCCUCACAACCAUUCCAUUAACCCAAGCAGCCAUGCAAGCAGUAAAAGCCAUCACAAGAGUUAACUCCAUUACAGAAGUUGCUGUGCUGUUUGGGAAGGAAAACUUCAGGUAAAACCAUUCUGCAUGGUUACAUGCAUUUUAUACUUCUGGCUCUUCAAUCUUCUUGAAGAAUUAUGAAUGGCUCAAAAACUCUCUCUCUGACUCCAAAGACCUCAUAUUUUUCUGCAUUUUUUUUCUUAAGUCAGUGAUACCACAAAACUCUUCAUGUCAACCCCUAACCCAUGGCACAGCUGUUGAUACUACAAACUGAGGUGUCUCAUUAAUUGUUCAGCAAGUUAACUACUCUGGAAAAGACUGUAUGAUAUAAUCAGAGCACUUUCCAAAAUACAUGAUUAAAGAAACUGGACCUGCGUAUGAAAAAGUGGAAAAGAAGAGAACGGUUACCAGUCAAAGUUACGGUUGCAACUCCCUGCAGUAUGCAUAAAGCAAAUGGUGACUUCUGCCAUCUGCCUAUCCAAGCUAUCCAUGUGAGCUGCUGAGAUGGCAACAACAGGUACCUAGGGUUGUUUGCUGUAUGUUCUGAAGACGACACCAGUUAACAAAGAGCAUUAUAUUCAUCUGCAACCUUCUUGACGGUGACCACAUAAGUGAUAAGCUCUUCUAAAAGGAGAGACUUCUUCGAUUAAUAACGUAUUCUAUGAGAGUUUUAAACUCAGUGCCAGGAAAGCUAUUUUCCAUGUGCAUUAAGGUAGAUUAGCAUUUGUGUAUACUGAGCAAUGGUCUCGGCACAUGCUUACACAGAUAAAAGGGAAACAAAUUUGGAAGGAGGGACUGUAAACAAUCUGGAAUGGGAUCCAAAUUAGUCAAAAAAAUAAAUGAAACCUUACAAAAUCUGCACUUCCAAAUGACAUUCUAUAUUAUCUACUGGAAUUUUUAACUGUUUCAAAUGCCUUCAUAACAUGAAACUGCAUACAGAACUGGCCUGUAGAAGUGAAUGAUUAUGAUAUUCUUUUUGCUACUUAGGUCCAUUAUCCUUUCACAACCCUCUUCUGGUGCUUAACAUAUUGUGAUACUGGCAUCUGCAUGCAUCUCCAUAAAUAAAUCUAACUUCUUCCCUACAGUACGUUUCCCAACCUUCAGCUAAUAUUUUGAAAUGAUGUGUCAUUUUCUGUGUCUUGGUAACUUUGAAGUGUCUGAAACAAAAUCUGUUUAUGGUGCAAACCAAACCAGGCUAUGAAUCCAGCACUGUCCUUGUUCAGAACAAUACAGGAAUUUUAUCUCAGAGUUCUGGUGAAUGUCGCCACAGAUCCCCUAUCAGUACAAAGGAAACAGAGAUGAUACUUCUAUUAGGAAGUUUAACACUGCUUCUGAAAGCUCUUAACAUAAAUCCCACUUCCAACUCAUAGUAAGUUUUGUUUGCUUGUUUGUUUAAGAUUUUGGACCUCCUUUCCCAAAUUUUCUUUACCUGAAGACACCAAUUCGAUCUGUAAUGAAAUUUAACUUGUGCCACCUAAGCCCAUAUAACACGUGACAUUAAAUCAGAAUUAACGUGUGUGACUGAGAACAGUGAUUUCAAUACUGCCAAGUUGUUGUGGCUGCCUCAGGAAGGCAGAAGAGUCAGAGGACAGUUACUUCUCUCCAAGGCAGACUAUUCAAAGUGGGAACCAAAGUACUUUUGUAAUAUUCAUUUCUUGGAUGAACAAUGAAAGCUUGGAUGAACAAUGAAAGCUGUGUCUCAGAUGCACUUGGUAUCAACUAAGAGGUGAGAUGAAUUUUGUCAGAUGUAAUUUCUCUACUAAAGAUGAUGUUCCCUCUCCAACUUAAUAAAUCUGAAACAAUAUAAUUGCAACAUUAAGUAAAAUUCUAUAAAGCAUCCAUAUCUCUUGUUUUUGAAAAAAAUGAUUCUACAGUGUCUCAGUGCUGUAAUGCAACACUCAGGUUUGAGCUGGGAAUGACAUUUGCCAGGAUGGUAGCACAGCACUUUGAAGGAAGGCAGAAUCAACAGUUGAGGCACCACACUUAGCUCCUACUCCCAUAAAAAAUAAUUUUCAGUUUAUGCACAAAGGAAUUGCACUUAAUGCCUCUACAACCUGCUCUCUCAUCUUUCGUG